AAGCAAGAAACGCACAAACGAAUUUAAUAUCCCAGCCGUUUCGAAUUUAAGCUCAUAAAAGAGAAAUGGAAUCGAUCUUCGUAGAGUCUAUGCGUAUCGAGAAAUAAGUCCAACCGUUCGAUUUAUCCCAGUUAUAUUUGUUCAACAAUGAAAUUAUAUUGGUGCUCAGAUCAUCAAAUUAUUGUGGAUAGAAAUUGAAGUACAAAGAAGAUCGAGUGACCAAGUUGAGGAAAGGAUGAGCAGGCACAACAACAUUAACAAAAAAUUGGUACUUUUGUUCCCCCAUUCUGUUUGGUCUAAACUUUAAAUUUAACAUCAUGUAUUAGUCCAAGUUUAUUCCAAAUAUUUUACAUUUCAAUGUCGUUAUCAAGUAAAUAAAAUCUUAAUCUUAGACUUCUGAUACCACGUUCCUCCGAUUUCAGUAUUAUCGGUCAGUCGAAGUAUUUAAUGAUUAAUUAUUUUUUUGUUAUCUAUAUUGUUGGUCCCUUCUAGGUUGUCUUUUCUGUUACAUGUGCAGUGAUACAUACAUAUGGAUGAGCUUAAUACAAAAAAUGAGGCCUGAGACGUGGUGUAGUAGAAGACUUCUUUAGCAUCAAUCUUAAGCUAGCUGGAGACCAGUUGAAAGACCAAGCCAUCUUCCGAUCUGUCGAGCACCAGCAGUUUCGUAGGACGAGUCGGGCCGUAAUAUAGCUGAGAUCAAAGGGAAAAGAAAAUAAGAAUUUGAGUGUUAUGGGGAUGAAACCUAUAGUACCAUUCACGUAGAAGCUCCCUAAAGUGUAUCCUUCGGCUCUCAAUCUGCUUGAACGGCUUCUUGGUGUGCAGCAUUGGUGUUGUACUUUUCUUUGGUUUCUUUUCGGGCAAUUGCACUACUUAGGUAUGCUCUUGGGACGUGGCUGGCAGAUUGCUCCUAUUUAUCAAUGAGAGAGACGUUGUUGUUAGCUUGCAUCCAAUGGAUGUUGCUCGACAGGUGUUUUUGGAGAAAUACACUUGUGUGGAAAAAGUUGCUCAAAAAGUGCUAUUUGGACCCCC